AGGUAGUAAUAAUUUAUAUAUAAACCUAUUUAUAUACGGCGGCAUUCAAUCUCAUUAGAGGAAUCUGUAUAAUAAUAGAUAAUCCACAAUAACUUUCACUUUAAAUAAAAACCUAUAUACCGCCAUCAAGAAUUAAAUUUACAAAUUUAUUCUUAAUAAUUAUUAAAAGGUUAGGUCAAGGUAUAGUCAAUAUUAAAGCAUUUAUGGAUUACAAUAAAAAAAUUUAUAAAUUAAAUAAUACAAUUUCUUUAGAAAUAGGAUUUAAAAGUAAUAUUAUAAUAAUAUUAUUAUAUUAAUAAGAUUAUAAAUGUGC
rnacentral:rRNA from 1 species